AGUCGCUGGGUGUAGACCCGAAACCAAGUGAUCUACUCAUGGCCAGGAUGAAGGUGCGGUAACACGCACUGGAGGUCCGAACCCACUAAUGUUGAAAAAUUAGGGGAUGAGCUGUGGGUAGGGGUGAAAGGCUAAACAAACUUGGAAAUAGCUGGUUCUCUCCGAAAACUAUUUAGGUAGUGCCUCAAGUAUCACCACCGGGGGUAGAGCACUGUUAUGGCUAGGGGGUCAUCGCGACUUACCAAACCAUUGCAAACUCCGAAUACCGGUGAGUGCGAGCUUGGGAGACAGACGUCGGGUGCUAACGUCCGGCGUCAAGAGGGAAACAACCCAGACCGCCAGCUAAGGUCCCAAAGAUUGGCUAAGUGGAAAACGAAGUGGGAAGGCUAAAACAGUCAGGAUGUUGGCUUAGAAGCAGCCAUCAUUUAAAGAAAGCGUAAUAGCUCACUGAUCGAGUCGUCCUGCGCGGAAGAUGUAACGGGGCUAAGCCAGUCACCGAAGCUGCGGAUAUGCGUAAGCAUAUGGUAGGAGAGCGUUCUGUAAGCCUGCGAAGGUGUCUUGUAAAGGAUGCUGGAGGUAUCAGAAGUGCGAAUGCUGACAUGAGUAGCGAUAAUGGGGGUGAAAAGCCCCCACGCCGUAAGCCCAAGGUUUCCUGUUCAACGUUCAUCGGAGCAGGGUGAGUCGGCCCCUAAGGCGAGGCAGAGAUGCGUAGCUGAUGGGAAGCAGGUUAAUAUUCCUGCACCGUCGUAUGAUGCGAUGGGGGGACGGAUCGCGGAAGGUUGUCUGACUGUUGGAAUAGUCAGUUUCUGUUUCAUAGAAGGUGCUUAGGCAAAUCCGGGCACGUGAUUCAAGGGAACGGGACGAAGAACUUUUAGUUCUGUAGCAAUCGGAAGUGGUUCCAAGAAAAGCCUCUAAGCUUCAGUCAUACGAGACCGUACCGCAAACCGACACAGGUGGGCGAGAUGAGUAUUCUAAGGCGCUUGAGAGAACUCGGGAGAAGGAACUCGGCAAAUUGGUACCGUAACUUCGGGAAAAGGUACGCCUCGGUAGCUUGGUCACUUUACUGUGAUAGGGCGAAAAGGUUGCAAUAAACUGGUGGCUGCGACUGUUUAAUAAAAACACAGCACUCUGCAAACACGAAAGUGGACGUAUAGGGUGUGACGCCUGCCCGGUGCUGGAAGAUUAAAUGAUGGGGUGCAAGCUCUUGAUUGAAGUCCCAGUAAACGGCGGCCGUAACUAUAACGGUCCUAAGGUAGCGAAAUUCCUUGUCGGGUAAGUUCCGACCUGCACGAAUGGCGUAACGAUGGCCACACUGUCUCCUCCCGAGACUCAGCGAAGUUGAAGUGUUUGUGAUGAUGCAAUCUACCCGCGGCUAGACGGAAAGACCCCAUGAACCUUUACUGUAGCUUUGCAUUGGACUUUGAAUCAAUCUGUGUAGGAUAGGUGGGAGGCUUUGAAG
rnacentral:rRNA from 1 species